UAAUCUUUUUUCUUUCAAAGGAUACAAAGAUAGUAAAAUGAAUUCAGUAGAGACAAUAGAACAAAGAAGAAUCAUCUAAGAUUCAUUUUAGAAUACUUAAGUCAGCAAGACUCACAUCUGGGGUAGAUUCACCUUCCUGGUGAAUUUGCACCAAGAAAAUUCAAACAGGAGCAUGAAAGAAAACUGUGAGCUUGUUUGCACGUGGUAAGAAGCAGGAACAGGGGAAAUGACAGUCAUCAUUAAGCAAAACAAACAGGAAGGAAAGUAAGGAGAGUGCAGAAAAAGAGUGGCAGGAUUGUGAGGAGAAUAGGCAAAGGAUGGAAUUAUCCAGCCACUCCUCAGGAAUGACUGAGAUUCAGUAAGCGUAUCUUAGAUAAGUAAAGCUACUUUUAGCUUUUUUUUCUGCUAAUUAACCUCAAUGAUGACUUGGCUAACUAGGGGUCUGGACAAUGUGAUCAUUACAGUGUCUGUGUGUCCAUAACAGCAGACAUGUCUCCCAUUUUGCCAGCGGGUUCCAAUUUACUGGACAUGAAAUAAAUGUAAAGAAGCAGGGGUUAUAUUUCACCUUGUGUAUGCCUGAAGUAGUAAAAACAAUAACAGAUUUGGCUGAACUUAGCAAACUCACAUUAGAAAGCAGCAUGGUGAAGUGGCUGCAGCCUUAGUACUGAGCACUACCUACAAAAAGGUCAGGCACCUUUCUAGUUAUGCCUCCUUGUAAAAUGGAGAUAGACAGCCUGUAGAGCUUGCUGUACAGCUGAGUGUAUGCCUAGUACAAAUUGAAUACUGCAAGGUUUUUACAACAAUUCUGUAGAGUUCCACUAAGCAUGUAAGAACAUUGCUUUUGAAAGACUUUAUGGGCUGGCCAAUCAGUGUAAAUAAUCAAGCAGAAGUAAUGGCCACUUUUGUGUCCUCAAGAUGAGUCCUUUGCUAGAAUUGAAAUCCACUGUAAGGAAAACAAAGACAGUAGGGCUCUUCAAAGGGAGAACUGGAGAUGCUGUGACUCAGGCAAACUCUCUCUUCAUCUCACUUUAGUCUUGUACACAUAAUGAAACAUUAACUGCAAGCAUUACUGCUAUCUCUACUUAUGGUAAAUAAAAGGAGCACAGGCAGCUAGCAAAGUCUACAGUGUGCCGUUUCCCUUGCCAUCAUCUCAUGUUAAACUUUACCCAGCACUGUUUACUGAGAUAACACUACACAGAAAAUAGAGAAGAAAACUUUUCCUCAUCCAGCUUACUGUGUUUCUGCAGUGAAGGUCUGAUCAAACAUGAGUUGCUGCUUGAAGUAGGGCAUGUUUCUCUACCUUUCAUUUUGGGAAACAAAGGAGUUCCACACUAAAUUGGACAGACAGAAAGAUCUUUAGCCCAUUGAACCAGGAAGAGCCAUUUUAUUAAAGCUGUAUGAGCAUUCUGCAGCAAAAGACUAGAGAUACCACUACCGAGUCUGCUUUCUGAAGAAAGAAAAUGUAGAAGUCAAUUCUGUCCCUUUUGAGCCUUUGCAGCGCCAGGUGUCAUUUAGGGAAGACAGACCUGAGUGCUCAGCAGCUGCCUACAAUCAGCUGAAAAAGCCUCAAACAACCUUCUUCUGAACCUUCCUAAGAACAAGUGGAAGAGUGGGGGAAGAGUGGGAGAAGUAUCACAUUGAGUGCUGGAGGACAAUUUAAGCUCUAUUGAGGCCUGAUUUCUGUCCUUGCUUGGUGCUGUAAUUGAGUCAGGUGCUUUGUCAGAACAAGGAACAGAAGCUUAAAGCCAUGAAUUUUGCAUAAUCUUUUAUGCUGGGAGAUGCAAUAUGGCUUUUUAAUAAAGAAUUUAGAAAAAUGCUGUUUGACAUUGUCUUAAACUUUUAUUUUUAGUCAUUCUGUCACUUCUCUUGAUCUGGGUGUGUUUAUUAGCAUCAUUCCUCAUGGACUGCCUUAGUAGGUAUAUCAUGUAUUCUGAUCGCAUAGCUUCUAUUCAUCUAUAAUGCUGUUGAGUCAGAUGCAGUCAUAUUUGAACGCUUAAUAGUUUAACCUUGAUAUAAAUGGUAGUCAAAUCUUUUUCACCACACCCAAAUAUGUUCCCGACUAGUCAUCAAUUUCUACUUCUAUUCCCCUGUCAUUAUUAUAAUU